rnacentral:rRNA from 1 species
CACGUAGGAGGCAAACGUUAUCCGGAUUUACUGGGCGUAAAGCGCGUGUAGGUGGUUCUGUAAGUAGGGCGUGAAAGCUCCCGGCUCAACUGGGAGAGGCCGUUCUAAACUGCAGAGCUAGAGGAUGGUAGAGGGAGGUGGAAUUCCAGGUGUAGCGGUGGAAUGCGCAGAUAUCAGGAGGAACACCAAUGGCGAAGGCAGGUCUCUGGGCAGUUACUGACGCUGAGAAGCGAAAGCAUGGGUAGCGAACAGGAUUAGAUA